rnacentral:rRNA from 1 species
CACGUAGGGUGCGAGCGUUGUCCGGAAUUAUUGGGCGUAAAGAGCUCGUAGGCGGUUUGUCGCGUCUGCCGUGAAAGUCCGGGGCUCAACUCCGGAUCUGCGGUGGGUACGGGCAGACUAGAGUGAUGUAGGGGAGACUGGAAUUCCUGGUGUAACGGUGAAAUGCGCAGAUAUCAGGAGGAACACCGAUGGCGAAGGCAGGUCUCUGGGCAUUAACUGACGCUGAGGAGCGAAAGCAUGGGGAGCGAACAGG